rnacentral:misc_RNA from 1 species
GAAAUGCGAUAAGUAGUGUGAAUUGCAGAAUUCAGUGAAUCAUCGAAUCUUUGAACGCACAUUGCGCCCCUUGGUAUUCCAUGGGGCAUGCCUGUUCGAGCGUCAUUUGUACCCUCAAGCUCUGCUUGGUGAUGGGUGUUUGUCCCCGUCUCCGCGCGUGGACUCGCCCCAAAGUGAUUGGCAGCCGGCGUACUGGUCCCGGAGCGCAGCACAUGUCGCGCAAACGAGUGCCUUGGUACGGCGGCGUCCAUAAGCCCCUCUCUCACGCUCUUGACCUCGGAUCAGGUAGGGAUACCCGCUGAACUUAAGC